GACAGAGGGUGCAAACGUUGUUCGGAAUUACUGGGCGUAAAGCGAGUGUAGGCGGUUCGGUAAGUCGGAUGUGAAAGCCCCGGGCUCAACCCGGGAAGUGCACUCGAUACUGCCGAGCUAGAGUAUCGGAGAGGUUGGUGGAAUUCUCGGUGUAGAGGUGAAAUUCGUAGAUAUCGAGAGAAACACCGGUGGCGAAGGCGGCCAACUGGACGAAUACUGACGCUGAGACUCGAAAGCGUGGGGAGCAAACAGG
rnacentral:rRNA from 1 species